GCGAGUUCCGUGAGUUUGUAGCAGGUAACCUAAAAAAUAGCCAAACCUGCUGAGAGCACGAACUGAAAAAUUUUGACACAUAUUAUGCUGGCAAAAGUUGGACAGCAAGCAAUUACAGUUUGCCGUUUCAACUAACAUUAACAGAAACACGACAAAAAUCGAGUAGACUUUGCGUCACAAUGUGCCCCCAAAAAUGCAGCAAAAGUACAACAAAAUUUAAAGACAUUAACAAAACAAAAAUCAGACAUUGUGUGUUGACACAAUAUAUCACUAAAAAUUCCUAUCUAAAAAAGGAGAUGGUCAUCGAUACUCGAAAGUCUCGAAAGUAUUGUUGCCUCUUUUCCGUGAUGCCGAUUGGUUCUCUCGCUGCGCUUACUUCGUGUUGCGUAAGUUAAAUGUAAAUUAAAUGUAAUGUAAUGACAGCUCGCAAGUGACAGCAGUAAAUGAUAAACAACAUAACCGUAACAAAUAGCUUUGUCAAGAGAAAAAUAACAAAAUGUCAGAAUGUUAUUUCGAAGUGUUUAACAACUCUCUUUAGCAAACUUAAUGGUGGAGAACUCGAGAGAGUAAUAACAAAUUUAUGAUCAAUCCAAAGUAUAUUAAAUCACAACUUCAUCGAAAAAAAUUAUACAUACAUACAUAGUUACGCAUUAAUAUAAAAAAAUAUGACUUAAGUACAUAAAAAGACAUGACUUAAAGACAUAAAAAGUAAUGCUAUUUAUGAUACUAUUAUUAAAUAAAUUAAUUGCUCAACUUUUAUCUAUCAAGAAAUACACAAUUUAUAACAGGCGGACUAUUUUACUGUCCAAUCUUUUACAAAUUUAUAAAUUCUAACAAUAUUGUAUAUCUACCAAGUAAUAAAUAAUAAAAAACCUGAAUAUAUGGAA